UGAUAGCACGGCUAUCGUGCAGCAGCGCGGUAAUACGGGAGUGGCAGCGUAUCGAUAUGGCGUAAGCGUCGCAGCGACUUCAAGUCUGCUGUAAAAAGUGGAGCUUAACUCCAUCAUGGCAGUGGAAACUGUUGGGCUUGAGUGUGGUAGGGGCAGAGGGAAUUCCCGGUGUAGCGGUGAAAUGCGUAGAUAUCGGGAAGAACACCAGUGGCGAAGGCGCUCUGCUGGGCCAUCACUGACGCUCAUGGACGAAAGCCAGGGGAGCGAAAGGGAUUAGAUACCCCUGUAGUCCUGGCCGUAAACGAUGAACACUAGGUGUCGGGGGAAUCGACCCCCUCGGUGUCGUAGCCAACGCGUUAAGUGUUCCGCCUGGGGAGUACGCACGCAAGUGUGAAACUCAAAGGAAUUGACGGGGGCCCGCACAAGCGGUGGAGUAUGUGGUUUAAUUCGAUGCAACGCGAAGAACCUUACCAGGGUUUGACAUCCUGCGAAUCUCUUGGAAACAGGAGAGUGCCUUCGGGAACGCAGUGACAGGUGGUGCAUGGCUGUCGUCAGCUCGUGUCGUGAGAUGUUGGGUUAAGUCCCGCAACGAGCGCAACCCACGUCUUUAGUUGCCAGCAUUUAGUUGGGCACUCUAGAGAGACUGCCGGUGAUAAACCGGAGGAAGGUGUGGAUGACGUCAAGUCAUCAUGCCCCUUACAUCCUGGGCUACACACGUACUACAAUGCUACGGACAAAGGGCAGCAAGUUCGCGAGGACAAGCAAAUCCCAUAAACCGUGGCUCAGUUCAGAUCGUAGGCUGCAACUCGCCUACGUGAAGGCGGAAUCGCUAGUAAUCGCAGGUCAGCAUACUGCGGUGAAUACGUUCCCGGGCCUUGUACACACCGCCCGUCACACCAUGGAAGUUGGCCACGCCCGAAGCCGUUACUCCAACCCUUGUGGA
rnacentral:rRNA from 1 species